rnacentral:ncRNA from 1 species
AUCCCAGGGGUGCUGGUGUUACCGGCUGAGAGUGAGGAUUGAAUCCUUAGACCCUAGUUGUACCUGAUCUGGUCAAUGCCAGCGUAGGAAGAGGUUGCAA